rnacentral:rRNA from 1 species
UACGUAGGGUGCGAGCGUUAAUCGGAAUUACUGGGCGUAAAGCGUGCGUAGGCGGUCCGCAAAGUCUGAUGUGAAAGCCCCGGGCUCAACCUGGGAACUGCAUUGGAAACUAACGGGCUCGAGUGUGGCAGAGGGGGGUGGAAUUCCACGUGUAGCAGUGAAAUGCGUAGAGAUGUGGAGGAACACCGAUGGCGAAGGCAGCCCCCUGGGCUAACACUGACGCUGAGGAGCGAAAGCGUGGGGAGCGAACAGG